AAUGGAAAGCUUUUUCAAGAAACUUAACUAGUAAGAAUUUACAACAGGUGCAUAUCACACAUUGCAUUCCAGGCAGAAAAGCUACACAGGAACUCGAUGAAUGAAUCCCAUACCUUACUUCCCCAAGCGUCUCAGGUUGUGCAUUUCUCU